rnacentral:lncRNA from 1 species
ACCCGUAUAAGGGGAAGUCUAUAGCUUUUCAGAGAAAGCUUUUCUUCUAAGAUAAAAGGAGAGCAGAAACAGCCUUGGACCUCUGCCUCGCUUUCCCCCUGGAAGGCAACCAUGAAGCCUGGAGCCCCUGGCUCCAUCUUAGAGAGGACCACGAGAGAAGGUUUAAGAGCAUUCCAUAGAUGCCAACCCAGUGCUCGGACAUGGUUUAAUGGCUGCCCGAGUGCUGGAAGGUCUGUCUAUAAAUUUCUUGAGAUAUUAAGCCUUUGAUGGCUAGGCUUUGCUCCUUGCAGCUAAAUGCUUCUUAAUGAGAUAUGAUGAGACUUGAGAAAGGGCCUUGAUUUACUCAUGAUCUCAUUCCUAACUUCCCACAUAUGGGAUCUGUGGCUAUCUGUGACAACGCUGACGGGGUGCUCUAACCACGUUUUGUGUUCUUACACGCUAACAUGGGGAGUCAAGAAGGCCAUGCCAACGAUUAACUCAGAUCAGGCCCGUCUCAGUUAAAUCUUUCAAAUUUCAGGAUGACCGAGAUGUCCAUCAUUUCUCUUGUCUGAGGUUUACCAUCUUUAAUUAACUUGUCUGAUGGUCAGUGGUCUAAUUCUGUUCCCCAGAUCUACUCUUUGGGAGAAGUGCCAUAUUUAGAAACAGCGUCUAUCCGUGUUGCUUCACAACCAUAUUUUUUUUUAAUUCCUGGGUUUGUAUGGGCAUAGCUAGCAGAGAUGCCAAACGAACUCAUGGAAAACAUAUUCUUAUCUAAAGGAUAUCUUUUGGUAUCUUGUCAUGAGCUUUUUAGGGGGAGUCUACCGUAAACUGUGAAAGUCAUUUUGAUGACAGAAGGUUUGGCGAGGUCUUUUAAAAUAAGAAAACUGAUUUCCAGGCAGUAAAGCAUCGCCCCUUUGUCAAUGUGCAAGUCCAGCUUGCAUUCCACCCACAGGGUUGCGGACACACACACCUAAAAACUCAUACAUAAUCUGAAAUCAAGUGCAUCAACAAAGGAACUUUUAAAACAAUGACCCACGUAAAGAUUUUAGUCAGAUAUGCAGUGUUAAUACUCACCCCAAUUUUACCAGCUAGAAUGACCUAGACUUAAUAUCCCCCUUAUCUGACAACAUGUGACAACAGGUAUUUCAUACUCAAACCCUGCCAGGAACGUGGGGCAGAAAUAUUGCCCUGGAUACCAGGACUUUGAACCUAGUCCUCCUUCUGCCAUGAAUUCACCCUGAUAUUUAGCAAGUCCCUUCCCCUUUCUGAGCUUUAGCUUAUUUUUUUAUUUUUUUUGGUCUAAAAAGAUGAAUUGGACCAGAUGCUCUUAAAGGCUCCAUCCUGCUUUCAGAUUCUCCAGCAUAGGAAGUAGAUAAACAAAAAGAAAUGUUGCCCUCUUUCUGUUAGAAGAUGCCUUGUAUAGCUGAGACAUGGCAGUAUUUGGAAUGCCAAUAUUUACCGAGAACUUAGCUAUAUGCCAGGCGCUAGACCAUGAACAGCUUUUUGUGGAUUACCUCUUUUAUUACUUAAGCAUCAUCAUUCCCAUUUUGCCAAUAAGGAAACAGGUCUGAAGGGACCCCACGACUGCCAGGAUCACAUAAAUGAGAGGAGAGAGCCUAGGUCCCAAAAUCCAUCCUCCUCUCCAUCCCACCACCCUAUAUCCAUAAAGAAUGUAGCGAGGUUCCAGAGGUACUCAAAACAACAUAUGAGCUUAAUUGUAGGAAAGGACAAGACUUAAACUUCUCUUUUUUUUUUUUUUUGCAUUUUUUAAUGAUUUUUAUUUUUUUCCAUUAGAGCUGAUGUACAGUGAAACUUCUCAUUUCUAUUUAAAAUUAAACAUACAUUUCAGUAAAAUGUAUGUGAUUUUUGGAGGCUGUGUCUUGGCCUUCCUUCUAGAGAAAGGGCAGAUAAGCAAAAAAUUAAUAAUAAUAAUCUGUUACAUCGGAUCAUAGGAGUCACGUGUGCUUUUACGGCCCGUCCCAUUUUGGGUUUUCACGAAUCGCUGUCACUGAAUCCCAUAAACAUCCCUUGCGUUUGCGAUAUUGUCGCACCUACAUGAAAGGUAUUGUUAAUACGCUGAGUCAAAACACACGUGCCCUCUGCAGGCUACGGUUUUGCUUUGAAAUCUCUGUAAUUAACACAUUCGCGUUUCAGGCACUGGGUAUUAUUGAGUGCAAAGAGACAAAGAUGUAUUUCAUCUUUUUUUUCUACUGAUGAUUCAUCACUUCCACUCCUCCCACCUCCAGAUGUCUACAUUUCAGUUUUCUGAGAGGCUACAAAGCCUGAAGUGGCAUCUGCGCCUUGAGUCAGAGGACACCAAGUGUUCAACUGAAACACCGCCAAGCGUUGGGUGUCAACUCUCUUAACCUGUUUUCCGGUGUAGGCGGCAUUAACAAUGCUCUUUGCCCUUGGGCUCUAAAAGGAAAAGACUCCAGUAACCCUACACCAGCAGCUCCACUUAAGUAACUAACUACCUGAUGCAGGGUUAUCUUUCCAGGCUGUCUGGGGAAGGGAGUGAAAACAUUCGCUUCUGUGUCCCUGGCAAGCUGGUUAAUGCUUGUCAAAGCAACAGCUCCCUGUUCCCCAAGCUCGGUCUCUGAUAUGUAUUUGAAUUUGCAAACUUGUGAUAACCAGAUAAUACCCAGUUGUGUGUUUACUAGUCUAGGAGGCAGCAGAAACACCAGCAGGUCCACUUAAAACACACGUGCACACACACACAGACACAAUCAGACAUGCAACAGCGAAAUAUUCUUUCACACUGCAGUGCCUUAGUUAACUUUCUAGGUGCGUCUACACAAAUUUGAAACACCACCUCCCUAGCAAUCCCUAGACAGUGAGUUUGGAAACUUCCUCCUCAAUAUUUUCUCUAUCGGUUCAAGUAAGUAGAUUCAUCAACAUUGUCUUGAUUUGCUCAAGCAAAAUAUAUCAAGCAUCCAGAGAGUCACUAAGGAUCUGGUUAAAAGAGCUAUAAGUACUUUUUUUUUUUAAACGGAUUAAGAUUGCCCCUGGCAAUCUUCUUGAGUCUUGACCAGUAGACGCAGCUAAUUAGGUUGAAUAUUCCAGAGAAAUGGAAGUCCCUGCAGAGAGAGAUAAUUCAAGCCAUUCCCGAUUUUGUAAUGAACAUUGUAAAAAAUGAUUUCUUCAUUAUGAGAGGAAGGGGCUGCUCCAAGGGGGUGGAAAUCCGCAAAAAGAGUGCUCCUCGGGUUUUGCAGAGGGAACAUUGUCAACAGUUAAAUAUCCUCGAUAUUUUAAAAACAUUCUUUGAGGAUCAAGCUGUCCAACUCUUCCCAGCCAUUCAUUUUUCAACCCAAGAUCAAAAGUGACAUUUUAAAAGAGGCACAUAAAGAAAGAGGAGAAGAAAUUUCUGCCGUUGAGCAAUUCCAAGGUCUCGUCAACUUGUAUAUAAAUGAGUUCUGUGUAUAAUCUCCCGCUCGUGUAUGACUCGGACCGGAGCUUUCUGCCAGGAAAUAUCUGUGGCCACCGUUAAACAGGAUAUGGCCCAUCUUGCCCGUGGCUCCGCUGGCUCCGAGCAGCACACAGUGCAUUUUUGUCCCGAGGUGGCGGCGGUAAAGUGCACCUUUAUUUGCUGGCUGCUAGUUGGGUUUGGAUGCCCGGUCACACUCUAAGCUGACCACUUUCUGAUGUGGAAUGCUCCCAGAAGAGAACACAGAACAGGCCGGCCUGAGGUCCUCCCCAGAACGCCAUGUAUUUCACUGCAGACAGCAACUCUGUUUCCUAGACAUAUCUGCCCUCCUGGAGACACAGUGGAGUAUAGCCAUCAUCCCCAGGCAGCCAAGUGAAUUCCAAGAGGCCCCGAGCAAACUUCCAAAGGUUCAAGUUACUUUUCCUCCUUGCUGGAUAAAAGAGCAUAUUCCAAGUCAAUCCAUGAGUCUAGGGUAGCCUUGCAUCCUAAGAAGUGGCACACUAUCUUUCUAUCUUUCAUUUGAAGUCAUUUUUAUAUCCACCCCAUGUCACUUGCCUCAUUAAGCAUGGAGACCGGAAAGCUGGUUGGCCUCUGGUCAUCUUUUGCCACACAAGGAUCACACCCUAAAUCUGAAUGCACACUGCCUUAGGCAAGUUAUAGGCACAUCCGACCCUCUCUGCCUACUGCACAAGUCCCAAUUCUUUUACUUAAAUUUGAAGAACCUUUACCAUCUUGCCUCAAACUAUCUAAUCCAUGCUGUCUUCUCACUGAUCCUAAACUUGUCAUACUUGUCCCUUCCUCCCUGCCCUUGUUCACCCAGUUUCUGACCUUUGACUUCAAAUGACUUCCUGCUCAGAGUUACUGAUAAUAUUUUUUGGAAUGCUGAAUAUGUGCCCAGUCCUGUGCUGGUCCCUUUGCAUAUUAUCUCACCUGUAUAAUGUGCCAGGAAGGUAAGUAUAUUUAUUCCUGUUAUACUAAACAGAAGACAGAGGCUUGGAGAUCAAAGCAGAUGCUGAGAUGCCUCACUAAGCACUGCCUCUCUUUUCAAGACUGAGAUAACUCAUUCUCCUUGCUGCUGAGGGAGUUGACUGCUGACUUCUCACACUUUCACCCCUUCCAGUUCCUGGAAGGGGGCUGCUGGUUCCUUCUCAGGGGCAGCCUACAUCUAUGUGACUUGGUAUAAGAGUGUAAGGGACUAGACCCCUUGACUCAAUUUGGGACACUUCUAUGGGACCAUCCCUUGUCCAGAGCACCCUGCAGGGUCAGCUAAGCCCUCUGGUGUUACUGCAUCAAGGCUUAACUUCUCCUCUGCCCAGCCUGCUCCCCGCCACCCCUCAUCAGCCUGGCUAUUGAGAGUACUUCCUGCUAAAUCUCCCACACACGGAUCCCAGAAUCUCAGAGUCUAGUUCGUGGGGAAUCCAGCUGGACAAGGAAGGUGGCUUUAUUUGCUCCAAACCAAGACUGAGUAAGUGAUAGACAAAUUUGGGAUUUUCACAUGACUCUGUUUCAAAGACUGUGUGCUUUUCUUUCUGCUGUUCCUUCCUCCAUCGAAUCACCACCCCUCUUUCCCUUCUCAGAUGGGCGGAAGCUCUUUCUCAAGCCUCUCCUAACUCCAGGCACCAGGAUGCUGACAUGCCACCAGAGGAAAAUGUGGCCUUGGGGAAUGUGAUUUUCUCUGCCUGCUCUUUUUAUCUUCACC